rnacentral:rRNA from 1 species
CACGUAGGGGGCAAGCGUUAUCCGGAUUUAUUGGGCGUAAAGAGCUCGUAGGCGGUCUGUCGCGUCGGCUGUGAAAACUCGGGGCUCAACUCCGAGCUUGCAGUCGAUACGGGCAGGCUAGAGUUCGGCAGGGGAGACUGGAAUUCCUGGUGUAGCGGUGAAAUGCGCAGAUAUCAGGAGGAACACCGGUGGCGAAGGCGGGUCUCUGGGCCGAUACUGACGCUGAGGAGCGAAAGCGUGGGGAGCGAACAGG